rnacentral:rRNA from 1 species
GCGAGCUUGCCUAGAUGAUUUUAGUGCUUGCACUAAAUGAAACUAGAUACAAGCGAGCGGCGGACGGGUGAGUAACACGUGGGUAACCUGCCCAAGAGACUGGGAUAACACCUGGAAACAGAUGCUAAUACCGGAUAACAACACUAGACGCAUGUCUAGAGUUUGAAAGAUGGUUCUGCUAUCACUCUUGGAUGGACCUGCGGUGCAUUAGCUAGUUGGUAAGGUAACGGCUUACCAAGGCAAUGAUGCAUAGCCGAGUUGAGAGACUGAUCGGCCACAUUGGGACUGAGACACGGCCCAAACUCCUACGGGAGGCAGCAGUAGGGAAUCUUCCACAAUGGACGAAAGUCUGAUGGAGCAACGCCGCGUGAGUGAAGAAGGGUUUCGGCUCGUAAAGCUCUGUUGGUAGUGAAGAAAGAUAGAGGUAGUAACUGGCCUUUAUUUGACGGUAAUUACUUAGAAAGUCACGGCUAACUACGUGCCAGCAGCCGCGGUAAUACGUAGGUGGCAAGCGUUGUCCGGAUUUAUUGGGCGUAAAGCGAGUGCAGGCGGUUCAAUAAGUCUGAUGUGAAAGCCUUCGGCUCAACCGGAGAAUUGCAUCAGAAACUGUUGAACUUGAGUGCAGAAGAGGAGAGUGGAACUCCAUGUGUAGCGGUGGAAUGCGUAGAUAUAUGGAAGAACACCAGUGGCGAAGGCGGCUCUCUGGUCUGCAACUGACGCUGAGGCUCGAAAGCAUGGGUAGCGAACAGGAUUAGGUACCCUGGUAGUCCAUGCCGUAAACGAUGAGUGCUAAGUGUUGGGAGGUUUCCGCCUCUCAGUGCUGCAGCUAACGCAUUAAGCACUCCGCCUGGGGAGUACGACCGCAAGGUUGAAACUCAAAGGAAUUGACGGGGGCCCGCACAAGCGGUGGAGCAUGUGGUUUAAUUCGAAGCAACGCGAAGAACCUUACCAGGUCUUGACAUCCAGUGCAAACCUAAGAGAUUAGGUGUUCCCUUCGGGGACGCUGAGACAGGUGGUGCAUGGCUGUCGUCAGCUCGUGUCGUGAGAUGUUGGGUUAAGUCCCGCAACGAGCGCAACCCUUGUCAUUAGUUGCCAUCAUUAAGUUGGGCACUCUAAUGAGACUGCCGGUGACAAACCGGAGGAAGGUGGGGAUGACGUCAAGUCAUCAUGCCCCUUAUGACCUGGGCUACACACGUGCUACAAUGGACGGUACAACGAGAAGCGAACCUGCGAAGGCAAGCGGAUCUCUUAAAGCCGUUCUCAGUUCGGACUGUAGGCUGCAACUCGCCUACACGAAGCUGGAAUCGCUAGUAAUCG